rnacentral:misc_RNA from 1 species
CUGAGUACUACACUCUCUACCCUUUGUGAACUAUUAUACCUGUUUGCUUCGGCGGCGCCCGCGAGGGUGCCCGCCGGUCUCAUCAGAAUCUCUGUUUUCGAACCCGACGAUACUUCUGAGUGUUCUUAGCGAACUGUCA